GAUGAACGCUAGCAGCGUGGAUAAGGCAUGCAAGUCGAGCGGGUUUAGACCCGCGGCAAACGGGUUAGUAACGCGUAGGGAAUCUACCCAAAAGUGGAGAAUAACUGGCCGAAAGGCGAGAUAAUGCUCCAUAGUCCCCGUACCUACUUGGUACUGGGUAAAGCUCCGGCGCUUUUGGAAGAUCCUGCGUCCUAUCAGCUUGUUGGUGAGGUAAAGGCUCACCAAGGCUACGACGGGUAGGGGGUGUGAGAGCAUGGCCCCCAACACUGGAACUGCGACACUGUCCAGACACCUACGGGUGGCUGCAGUCGAGAAUCUUCGGCAAUGGGCGAAAGCCUGACCGAGCGACGCUGCGUGCAGGAAGAAGGCCUUCGGGUUGUAAACUGCUGUUCUUAGGGAAGAACUUUGACGGUACCUAAGGAGAAAGGGGCACCUAAUCACG
rnacentral:rRNA from 1 species